GGGAUGAAUAUGGGGGGUUAUACAUGGAGGACAGGGGAGGGAUGGAACCAGGAAGAGGCGCGAGGAAAAGUGACAAAGGGAGGGAAGCCACCAAGACCCAGGAGGAGGAUUGGAAGUAAGAAGUAGAGCCUGGUAUGGGAAGUCAACAAAUCCACCACAGCUGACCUGAUCUCCACUCCGACCCUCUGUGACCCUAACACUAAGAGACCAAAGAACUACAGACUCUUCACAACCUGCUCAAACUCUUGGUACAGGACCUCACCACACGGGUCAAGAAGGUUUCCGUCUCAUUUCUACUCUGAAGCUCACCUUCUCCUGCUCAAACUGCUGACAAAUGUUUCUGCUGCUCUAAAGUCUGGUCUCCAGAACUUCCUAAAAACUCUCAAAGGCUCUUCUGCUGCAGGUUGCUUUGUAGAACUGUUGCAGAAAACCUCACUAAACCACAUGGAGGGGCCUCAAGAUAGUCGUCCAAAUGAAACCGUACAAAAACCAAACUAGCACAACCCAAACACUAAAGUCUCCUGCAGCCUACCAGAGAACCUCUGAGAACAGAGAAUCAGGACAGGAACUCUUACCUUCUGGACAACCAACGUUGGUUCUCAAACAAGAAUACAGAAUGUGUCUGACCAAAAACCUCUAAAGACUCACUACAGCCAAGAUAAAGACACAACUCACCUGCACCAAACCCACUAAUCACUGCACACAUUAGCACCAUGUGCUAGCUGUGGCUAAAGAACCACAUUUACCAAGACAACUAUCCAGUACAAAGCCCUAAAACACACCAAGAAACACAUUAAAGACGAUUUUACUGCUGGAAGCUGCAAGCCAACACCUAAAGAACAAAUUAAAGCAACGGAGCCAAACCCGGUUCUGUGGUGAAGAGAAGCAGAGGAAAUGUUUGACUGUAGCUAAAUAAAGCAGGAAGACACUGAGCUGCUCAGGUGUUCCUGAUAACACUGAGCUGCUCAGGUGUUCCUAAUAACACCAAGCAGCCACCUGGACAGCCAAUAGGAACACAGCUUACUGGAAGUCCAGAGGCCUGGCUUAGUGAAGGAAAUUUAGUUUAAAGUUGAAGCAGAAAGUUAACAAAGAAAGUUGAAAACCACCUUCUGAUACCUGAAAUCUCUGAGUUUUCACACAAAGAACGCCUGAACAUGUCAAACUGGUUUCAUAGUAGAACCAUCAUUGUAAAAACGUCAUAGUAUGGUGUGUUGCUCAAAAAACAUUACGACCCGGCUGUCAGGGGACAAACAUGUAAGAAACAUGAGAACAGAGAGAAUCCAACCAGUAGGUCACAGUUUAUCAUCCCCCAGUCAUCUCCUGAAGUCCAUAUGGUGAGAGACAUCAGUAUCUGGUUGUUAAUUUACCAGAGGAUGCUUAUAAUCAUGCUGAUGUGGUCUGUACUCUACAGUAUUUUAGUGACUCAAUAAAUGCCUAAGUCAACCCGCCCGGCCAGCAGGCAGAUGGGUCCCCCCACAUUAGAGUCAGGUUCUGCUCGAGGUUUUUUUCCCUGUUAAAAGGGUGUUUUCCUUGCCACUGUCGCCUUUUGGCUUGCUCUGGGGGUCAGGCAUAUGGGUUCUGUAAAGCGUCUCAAGACAAUUUGACUGUAAUUGGCGCUAUAUAAAUAAAAUUGAAUUGAAUUGAAUUGUUUUUUUUUUAAAAUGCUUUUUAGUUUUUAAUAAACAUUUAAGAGCCUAUAUGUAAUCAAUAAAUGGCCUUUGCCUAUCUUAAGAAAAAUUCACUCAGAACUGUGAUAUGUUAACAGUACUAAAUAAAUCAAUAAAUACAUGCAUACACACAAAAAUAAGUUAAUACAUUAACUGUGUUAAGAUAAGAUUUAGAUUUUUUAAAAAGUUGUUUAUGUUUUUGCAGAAUCCAGUAUUGCUCACUGGUUGGUCAUUACAUUUUAUUAGUUUGAUUUCACUGUUUAAAAUGAUGCCACCUCUUUUCAGACAGAACCUGUGAUAAUAAAACAAUACAAAAUUUUUAGUUCCGUGUUAAUAAAGCACUUAAAGCUUUAAGUAUGGCUAAAUGCUUUUUUCAAAAUUAAAUAUAUCACUCCUUAGGUGGUAGUGGCCCCAAGUUCAGUAAAGUUGGAAAGAUAUUCACAGAUUCGGACUUCCAGCAUCAAUAACUCAUUAGAUAUAGGUUGUCAAAACAUAAACGGUGCCUCUUUCCCAUUGUUGCAAGGCAGACAAUGUGCUACAAGCCCAGUUUUAUCAAAAGUAGCUGUCUUUCAAGCUACAGGAAUAACAUUGGUGUCUAUGGAGUGAACAGGGUCCGUCUGCAAUUUGCAAAACCACUGCAACAGUAAAGAGAGACAAAUAUUCAAUAACUUCACUCUUAUACAUUGUAGUGUCACUAAAAUCACUGCAGCCUUCAACUGGCUCCUGUUGACAAAGUGUUUUAACAGAAAUGUAAAUGCUGUAAUUUGAUUCUUUUAAUGAACCAUGUAACUUGAAUGGAUGCGAUGCUGGUGUGACCACAGUGAACACGUCUGAUGUUGCUCACAGUGGUCCAAGGAACG